GCCGUUUCCGUGCUUCAUAGUUGAAUGGCUGUUAAACUUUAGGUAAAAUCCUCAAUGAAGUCCUUUGUCUGAUUUUCAACUGAUCCCACCAAACAUUUAAGGCUAUAAUGACCUAAAAGCAUGACACUAUUUUAAACAAGCAUGAUACAAACAAACAGAGUAAAAAAAAAAAAUUAAAUAAAGAUAACAUAGUGCGCCUCCUGUGCUUAUGGCCCAAACCAGCAAAUAGAAGGAAAAGGAAUGAUCUUAAAUGUGACAGGGAAAAAUGGAGACUUCAGUUUUGAGCACAGCGUACGUUUUGUUAUUCGUGCAUCCAGAGACCGGAGAUGUGCAAAUUAAUAAUUUCAUUCUAGAAUUAUGUCCAAGUGAAUGGUACCUGUUUUAGAUUAAUUGACUAAAGAUACCCAUUGAUUACAACCAC
rnacentral:misc_RNA from 1 species